rnacentral:miRNA from 14 species
ACAAAGAAGUUAAGUGCCUUUAUUUGUAAGGUAUAAGUACUGGGGACAUACUUAUACUAAAAAGUCAUUUGUUGUUUCUCUGAAGUUCCCAUUGAGUUGGGCA